rnacentral:rRNA from 1 species
AGCUCCAAUAGCGUAUAUUAAAGUUGUUGCAGUUAAAAAGCUCGUAGUUGGAUUUGUGGCUGUCGCAUGCGGCCCGCAUUCGUGCGGUGUUUGCUAGCGUCGCCAUCCUUGGGUGGAACCUGUGUGGCAUUAGGUUGUCGUGCAGGGGAUGCCCAUCGUUUACUGUGAAAAAAUUAGAGUGUUCAAAGCAGGCUUAGGCCGUUGGAUACAUUAGCAUGGAAUAAUGAGACAGGGCCACCGCGGUCUAUUUUGUUGGUUUGCACGUUGUGGCAAUGAUUAACAGGAACGGUUGGGGGUAUUCGUAUUCAACUGUCAGAGGUGAAAUUCUUGGAUUUGUGGAAGACGAACUACUGCGAAAGCAUUUACCAAGGAUGUUUUCAUUAAUCAAGAACGAAAGUAG